CUUGGGUGUAUUAGUGGAUGGAAAACUGACUAUGAGCCAGCAAUUUGCACUCACAGAUCAGAAAGCCAACUGCAUCCUGGACUACAUCAAGAGAUAUGUGAACAGCAAGUCCAGGGAUGGG